CCCAACNCCGCCUGCCGGGGUGAGCCCGUCCCUGCCCGCAGCCUCCCCUUGCCCGCAGUUCGCUCCUGCUGCUCUCACUGCGCCCGAUCCCAUCCGGCAGCACAGGCGCCCUGCAGGCUUUGGCUCCAGGGCUCUGCACGGUGCCGGGCUCUGCUGAGGAGCACCAGGAGCAGAACCACACCUGGGUUUAUGCUUUCCCUUCGAGAGGGGCAGGCAGAAAUGUAAUGAACAAUGCGGGAAAUUAUCAGUGGCUGCAAAGCUGCUGGACGGAACUUAAAGGAUUUAUAUCUCAUGUCCUACAACACUCAGGCAAUAAAGCCAAGUGGAACAGCAGAAUCCUCUCUGUCCUCAAGGCCUGGAGUGGCACAAGAGGUCCCUGCCACAGCCUGAGAUGAACAAGUCACCUGCCCAUGUGUUGUUUACUCCUCUCUGAACUAUUUUAUAUAUUGAGCACCAUAUAAAAUCACAUUUUGAAUGCUUCUCCUUUGUCUCUCCCUAGUUAAAACCACAGCAGAGACAAACCAAACCAAACCCUCGGAAGAGAAUCCUUACUGGCUGGCAAGCAUCCUCAUUCCGAGCUGCAUAGUUCCCCCAGUAGCCCUUGGAAUUCUAGCUGGGAUCAUCGUGAGACGGAAAGAGAAUGAAAAGCACUCUUAUAAUGUGAAUUCACAAAAGCAGGAGGUGAAGGGAAGGGAUACAGGGAUGCACCUGGAGGUUACAGAUGAGAAGAAGCUCCCCAAGCUCUGGAAUUCCUAUUUUUGCCACACAGGGAAGUGCCACGUGUGUCCCAGCUGUGAGGAGCAGCUCCACAGUGCCCUGGCCCCUCUCUCAGAGCCCCCACAGCACGGCUGUGCCGCCUGCCAGGACUGGCUGAGCUCCCAGCCCCAAAAACCCCGCAGCUACUCGGUGCCCAGCGUGGGUGAUGGGGACAGUCAGAGCCCAGCAGGCACCAGCUCUCCUGCCAUGGAUGUGGAUGUGCUCAGGGCAGAUGGCACAGGAGGAGCUGCUCCAUGGAGGAGUGAGGCAGAGCAGCCCAUGGACCACCAAAGUGACCACAUCUGUCCCACCUGUGAGAGCUGGCUGCGUGCCCACACGGGCCAGGGGGACAGCAGGGCUGUGACACCGGGGGAGUGGCAGCACAAGGGCCCCCAGGGCCCCGUCUGCCCCCCCUGCACGGACAGACAGCUCCUGUCCCUCAUCCACGGGGACACAGCCAGCAGCCCCGUGUGCCCCCUGGCCGGGGAGGGCUCCCCAGCCCACCUGGUCCCUCCGCACAGCCCCAGCUGCCACCUGUGCCCCGUGUGCUCGGUGCCCAGCCACGCUCACCUGUGCCAGCCCCAGCGCCUGGCACCUGACGGAUAAAUCCAGGAGCUGAGGAGGGGAGUCCAGCACCGAUCCCUGGCAGGGAUUCAGCUCCCAGUGCAACAAAGGGACCUGAAAUCAAAGCUCUGACUUCACCUGGGCUGCCACAGAAGCAGAAAAACUAAACACACUUCAAACCCACCUCCGUGUUGGUUUAAUGCCCACUUUUUUGUUUAUUUUUGUAUGAGCAAAGUAUUUUUACAGCUCUCAAAGUGAGGCUUUAAAAAGUCAGUAAACGUUUCUUUGCGCUAGGAAAACAAUUUCCUCUUUGCACAAUCUUACGAGAUUUAUUUGUAUUUCCUAAACUAUUUUUUUAAACUGAGGUUCCUUUCCUAGUGUGCAGAUAAAAGUGCAAAAUUUACAGUUUUUAUAGUAAAACUGUUUUGUAAAUAAAAUUAAUAUAAAAUAAGGAAUACUGGUAUCC
rnacentral:lncRNA from 1 species